rnacentral:rRNA from 1 species
GACGAACGCUGGCGGCGUGCCUAAUACAUGCAAGUAGAACGCUGAAGAGAGGAGCUUGCUCUUCUUUGAUGAGUUGCGAACGGGUGAGUAACGCGUAGGUAACCUGCCUUGUAGCGGGGGAUAACUAUUGGAAACGAUAGCUAAUACCGCAUAACAAUGGAUGACACAUGUCAUUUAUUUGAAAGGGGCAAUUGCUCCACUACAAGAUGGACCUGCGUUGUAUUAGCUAGUAGGUGAGGUAAUGGCUCACCUAGGCGACGAUACAUAGCCGACCUGAGAGGGUGAUCGGCCACACUGGGACUGAGACACGGCCCAGACUCCUACGGGAGGCAGCAGUAGGGAAUCUUCGGCAAUGGGGGCAACCCUGACCGAGCAACGCCGCGUGAGUGAAGAAGGUUUUCGGAUCGUAAAGCUCUGUUGUAAGUCAAGAACGGGUGUGAGAGUGGAAAGUUCACACUGUGACGGUAGCUGACCAGAAAGGGACGGCUAACUACGUG